AUGACAGAAAAGUCAUCGAUCUAUCAUUGUACCUAAGGUGUGGCCUACUUACACUGGAAUAUAAAACGAGCUGCAUUCACUAACUUUGAUUUACCCUUUGAUCCAUCGUCAUCCUAUUUAAUUUCUUAUUAUUAUCUCUCUGCUGCGAUGAAUGGUGAUUGUCAAAGCUGCACAGCUGUUCUUGUGCUUGUCAUCUUUGCAAUUUUAAUUUUACUCAUUGUGAUCGUCCUUUUACGUCGUAAGCCUUCAGUUAUAAAACCAACACAAGUUGAAGAUGAUACAGAAGGAAUGCUACAUCUCCCUGGUGGAAAUAUGAGGCCAAUGCCAUAUCAAUAGUGUAGUUCUUGCAUGCAGUUGAAAGCUCAGUUCUUUAUCCAGACAGCUUCAUACAGUAUUUUGCAAAAGCUGCAGCAUCAAGCAGAAAUGGAUCCUUUUGUGCUAUACUGUAACACCCUAGGUUUGGCCAGCCAUUAAAUAGGCUAACGCUGUCUGAGUGAAGAAUUGGUCUUUCAAAUGCUUGCAAGGACCUCGCUGGCCUUAUUGAUGCUACACCUGCUGCUUAACUGCUGUAUUAUACAUGUGCUGUUUAUAACUGUGACUUAGUUAUUUAUAGCUGAACUGCUGUGCUGUUUAUAAUUGUGACUUAGUUAUUAUUGGUUAUAAAUUUUAAUUGCA